rnacentral:rRNA from 1 species
GACGAACGCUGGCGGCGUGCCUAAUACAUGCAAGUAGAACGCUGAAGGAGGAGCUUGCUUCUCGGGAUGAGUUGCGAACGGGUGAGUAACGCGUAGGUAACCUGCCUGGUAGCGGGGGAUAACUAUUGGAAACGAUAGCUAAUACCGCAUAAUAGUAGAUGUUGCAUGACAUUUGCUUAAAAGGUGCAAUUGCAUCACUACCAGAUGGACCUGCGUUGUAUUAGCUUGUUGGUGGGGUAGCGGCUCACCAAGGCGACGAUACAUAGCCGACCUGAGAGGGGGAUCGGCCACACUGGGACUGGGACACGGCCCAGACUCCUACGGGAGGCAGCAGUAGGGAAUCUUCGGCAAUGGCCGGGAGUCUGACCGAGCAACGCCGCGUGAGUGAAGAAGGUUUUCGGAUCGUAGAGCUCUGUUGUAAGAGAAGAACGAGUGUGCGAGUGGAAAGUUCACUCUGUGCCGGUAUCUUACCAGAAGGAGACGGCUAACUACGU